rnacentral:lncRNA from 1 species
CUUGAAACAUAUUUUGUUUUGUGGUAGCCCACAGGACAGCCAGCCAAAGACUUUCUUCCCACUGUGCUAGGUAUAAAACAAAGACCUGCCUAUUGAGCUUACAGAUGCAAAACAAAAAUUCCCCGCAAGCAGGAUCAAAAUUUUCUACAUCUAUGAGGACAAGACCGGAAACAUCAGAUGUACUGUGAAGAGGAGAACUCUAAUGUCUUGUCAGGAGGCAAACAAGCCUUGUUAUCUCCAUUCUACAGAAACAGGAGCUUCAGGCAGGGGGAAGGGUCACCUUGGAAAAUUCAGUAGGUGCCUAUCUGCUUCUUAAAGCUAUCCUAUAACCGAGACAACAUCUGAGGCAGAGACGGACAAAGGAUUCUGCGUCCAUCUUUCAAUCUCAUGUCUCCAACCACAAAUCAUGCUGCUAGCUUUUCUACUCCUCUGUGAGGGAAACUUCAUUUUUCAUUUUAUAUUGGAAGGAGCAGGAGAAAAAGGGGAGAUAGGCUGACUGUAGAAUCUCCUGCUCCUAAUGGGAACACUGCUACAGCUUGUUUUAUGACCAAGACU